rnacentral:rRNA from 1 species
UUUGACCUCGGAUCAGGUAGGAAUACCCGCUGAACUUAAGCAUAUCAAUAAGCGGAGGAAAAGAAACCAACUGGGAUUGCCUCAGUAACGGCGAGUGAAGCGGCAAAAGCUCAAAUUUGAAAUCUGGCCCCGUCANGAGCCCGAGUUGUAAUUUGGAGAGGACACUUCGGGUGUGGCCGCGGC